GGAUUAUGAUAAGGACAAUAUCUGAGCAGCCCCUUGAACCUCUCCCAAGCUGAGUAUAGAGACUCCUCCGCUUUUUGUUUGAAGGCGACUAUCUCACUUCUGCUUUU
rfam:Nicotiana attenuata strain TT chromosome 11, whole genome shotgun sequence.